rnacentral:rRNA from 1 species
AUUGAACGCUGGCGGCAUGCCCUACACAUGCAAGUCGAACGGCAGCACGGGAGCAAUCCUGGUGGCGAGUGGCGAACGGGUGAGUAAUAUAUCGGAACGUGCCCAGUCGUGGGGGAUAACGUAGCGAAAGCUACGCUAAUACCGCAUACGAUCUAUGGAUGAAAGCGGGGGAUCGCAAGACCUCGCGCGAUUGGAGCGGCCGAUAUCAGAUUAGGUAGUUGGUGAGGUAAAGGCUCACCAAGCCAACGAUCUGUAGCUGGUCUGAGAGGACGACCAGCCACACUGGAACUGAGACACGGUCCAGACUCCUACGGGAGGCAGCAGUGGGGAAUUUUGGACAAUGGACGCAAGUCUGAUCCAGCCAUUCCGCGUGCAGGAUGAAGGCCCUCGGGUUGUAAACUGCUUUUGUACGGAACGAAAAGGUUUCUAUUAAUACUAGGAGCUCAUGACGGUACCGUAAGAAUAAGCACCGGCUAACUACGUG